rnacentral:rRNA from 1 species
UACAGAGGGUGCGAGCGUUAAUCGGAAUUACUGGGCGUAAAGCGUGCGCAGGCGGUUCGUUGUGUCGGCGGUGAAAGCCCCGGGCUCAACCUGGGAAUGGCCGUUGAAACUGGCGAACUGGAGUGUGGCAGAGGGGGGUGGAAUUCCGCGUGUAGCAGUGAAAUGCGUAGAGAUGCGGAGGAACACCGAUGGCGAAGGCAAUCCCCUGGACCUGUACUGACGCUCAUGCACGAAAGCGUGGGGAGCAAACAGG